rnacentral:lncRNA from 1 species
GGUCUAGUCACUCUCCAUUAUUACGCUAAGCAAAGAUUACCUUUGUUCUGUGUCUCAAUUACAGAGCACGAAGAAGAGAAAACAGAAAACAUCCAUUGAAUCCUCUGCCUCUGGUAAUGUAUGGCUCCCAGUAUGCCUCCUUCAAGAGCAUGACUGACCCAAUUACUAGUAUGAGCAAAAGGAAGAAACCCCCAAUUGAACUGAUGAAAAACAUAAACAGUGGCAAUGAAUUAUAACCCAGUUAAAACUGGAUCUGAAAGCUGAAUAAAAGACAUGCAAAAG